rnacentral:snRNA from 1 species
GCAAUCACGCAAAUUUCCGAGUUU